GACCGAGUACGCUGGCGGCGUGCCUAGUACAUGCAUAGUCGUAGACGACAGGUAGACCGUAAGGAACUCUUCGGAGGGAAGGCAGUGGAAUGAGCGGCGGACGGGUGAGUAACACGUAAGGAACCUGCCUCAAGGAUUGGGAUAACUCCGAGAAAUCGGAGCUAAUACCGGAUAGUUCAACGGACCGCAUGGUCCGCUGAUGAAAGGCGCUUCGGCGUCACCUUGAGAUGGCCUUGCGGUGCAUUAGCUAGUUGGUGGGGUAACGGCCCACCAAGGCGACGAUGCAUAGCCGACCUGAGAGGGUGAUCGGCCACACUGGGACUGAGACACGGCCCAGACUCCUACGGGAGGCAGCAGUAGGGAUCUUCCACAAUGGACGAAAGUCUGAUGGAGCAACGCCGCGUGAGUGAUGAAGGUUUUCGGAUCGUAAAACUCUGUUGUAAGGGAAGAACACGUACGAGAGGGAAUGCUCGUACCUUGACGGUACCUUACGAGAAAGCCACGGCUAACUACGUGCCAGCAGCCGCGGUAAUACGUAGGUGGCAAGCGUUGUCCGGAAUUAUUGGGCGUAAAGCGCGCGCAGGCGGCCUUUUAAGUCUGAUGUGAAAGCCCCCGGCUCAACCGGGGAGGGCCAUUGGAAACUGGAAAGGCUUGAGUACAGAAGAGAAGAGUGAAUUCCACGUGUAGCGGUGAAAUGCGUAGAGAUGUGGAGGAACACCAGUGCGAAGGCGACUCUUUGGUCUGUAACUGACGCUGAAGGCGCAAAGCGUGGGGAGCAAACAGAAU
rnacentral:rRNA from 1 species